rnacentral:rRNA from 1 species
CUGAAUUUAGCGGCGGACGGGUGAGUAAUACUUAGGAAUCUGCCUAUUAGUGGGGGACAACAUUUCGAAAGGAAUGCUAAUACCGCAUACGCCCUACGGGGGAAAGCAGGGGCUCUUCGGACCUUGCGCUAAUAGAUGAGCCUAAGUCAGAUUAGCUAGUUGGUGGGGUAAAGGCCUACCAAGGCGACGAUCUGUAGCGGGUCUGAGAGGAUGAUCCGCCACACUGGGACUGAGACACGGCCCAGACUCCUACGGGAGGCAGCAGUGGGGAAUAUUGGACAAUGGGCGCAAGCCUGAUCCAGCCAUGCCGCGUGUGUGAAGAAGGCCUUUUGGUUGUAAAGCACUUUAAGCGAGGAGGAGGCUACUUAGAUUAAUACUCUAGGAUAGUGGACGUUACUCGCAGAAUAAGCACCGGCUAACUCUGUGCCAGCAGCCGCGGUAAUACAGAGGGUGCGAGCGUUAAUCGGAUUUACUGGGCGUAAAGCGUGCGUAGGCGGCUUUUUAAGUCGGAUGUGAAAUCCCUGAGCUUAACUUAGGA